UACGUAGGCGGCAAGCGUUGUCCGGAAUUAUUGGGCGUAAAGCGCGCGCAGGCGGCCUCUUAAGUCUGAUGUGAAAGCCCCCGGCUCAACCGGGGAGGGCCAUUGGAAACUGGGAGGCUUGAGUAUAGGAGAGAAGAGUGGAAUUCCACGUGUAGCGGUGAAAUGCGUAGAGAUGUGGAGGAACACCAGUGGCGAAGGCGACUCUUUGGCCUAUAACUGACGCUGAGGCGCGAAAGCGUGGGGAGCAAACAGG
rnacentral:rRNA from 1 species